rnacentral:rRNA from 1 species
AUUGAACGCUGGCGGAAUGCUUUACACAUGCAAGUCGAACGGCAGCACGAGGGCAACCUUGGUGGCGAGUGGCGAACGGGUGAGUAAUACAUCGGAACGUGCCCAGUCGUGGGGGAUAACGUAGCGAAAGCUACGCUAAUACCGCAUACGAUCUAUGGAUGAAAGCGGGGGACCGUAAGGCCUCGCGCGAUUGGAGCGGCCGAUGGCAGAUUAGGUAGUUGGUGGGGUAAAGGCUCACCAAGCCUGCGAUCUGUAGCUGGUCUGAGAGGACGACCAGCCACACUGGAACUGAGACACGGUCCAGACUCCUACGGGAGGCAGGCAGUGGGGAAUUUUGGACAAUGGGCGCAAGCCUGAUCCAGCCAUUCCGCGUGCAGGAUGAAGGCC